UACGUAGGGUGCAAGCGUUGUCCGGAAUUAUUGGGCGUAAAGAGCUCGUAGGCGGUUUGUCGCGUCUGCUGUGAAAACCCGAGGCUCAACCUCGGGCCUGCAGUGGGUACGGGCAGACUAGAGUGCGGUAGGGGAGAGUGGAAUUCCCGGUGUAGCGGUGAAAUGCGCAGAUAUCGGGAAGAACACCCGUGGCGAAGGCGGCUCUCUGGGACGGUACUGACGCUGAGACGCGAAAGCGUGGGGAGCGAACAGG
rnacentral:rRNA from 1 species